rnacentral:tRNA from 2 species
AGUGAGGUGGCCGAGUGGUCGAAGGCGCACGCCUGGAAAGUGUGUAAACGGCAAAACCGUUUCGAGGGUUCGAAUCCCUUCCUCACUG